CAAAAAACGGGUGGGCUAUAGCCUUGGUGGGGGACGUGGGCGAAGUUCGUCCGCCGGACUCGGAAUGGCUACAGACUUUGCGGGCGGCCUCCGUGUGCCAAAAAUAGGCCUCGGGCACAGCCGCGCCCAAAAAUCAGCCCCCGAAGGUCGGGGUGCCAAGACCCCCCAGCGGAAAAAUGGCCAAAAAACGGGUGGGCUAUAGCCUUGGUGGGGGGCGUGGGCGAAGUUCGUCCGCCGGACUCGGAAUGGCCCCAGACUUUGCGGGCGGCCUCCGUGUGCCAAAAAUAGGCCACGGGCACACCCGCGCCCAAAAAUCAGCCCCCGAAGGUCCGGGCGCCAAGACCCCCCAGCGGAAAAAUGGCCAAAAAACGGGUGGGCUAUAGCCUUGGUGGGGGGCGUGGGCGAAGUUCGUCCGCCGGACUCGGAAUGGCCCCAGACUUUGCGGGCGGCCUCCGUGUGCCAAAAAUAGGCCACGGGCACACCCGCGCCCAAAAUUCAGCCCCCGAAGGUCGGGGCGCCAAGACCCCCCAGCGGAAAAAUGGCCAAAAAACGGGAGGGCUAUACCCUUGGUGGGGGGCGUGGGCGAAGUUCGUCCGCCGGACUCGGAAUGGCCCCAGACUUUGCGGGCGGCCUCCGUGUGCCAAAAAUAGGCCACGGGCACACCCGCGCCCAAAAAUCAGCCCCCGAAGGUCGGGGCGCCAAGACCCCCCAGCGGAAAAAUGGCCAAAAAACGGGUGGGCUAUAGCCUUGGUGGGGGGCGUGGGCGAAGUUCGUCCGCCGGACUCGGAAUGGCCCCAGACUUUGCGGGCGGCCUCCGUGUGCCAAAAUAGGCCACGGGCACACCCGCGCCCAAAAUUCAGCCCCCGAAGGUCGGGGCGCCAAGACCCCCCAGCGGAAAAAUGGCCAAAAAACGGGUGGGCUAUAGCCUUGGUGGGGGGCGUGGGCGAAGUUCGUCCGCCAGACUCGGAAUGGCCCCAGACUUUGCGGGCGGCCUCCGUGUGCCAAAAAUAGGCCACGGGAACAGCCGCGCCCAAAAUUCAGCCCCCGAAGGUCGGGGCGCCAAGACCCCCCAGCGGAAAAAUGGCCAAAAAACGGGUGGGCUAUAGCCUUGGUGGGGGGCGUGGGCGAAGUUCGUCCGCCGGACUCGGAAUGGCCCCAGACUUUGCGGGCGGCCUCCGUGUGCCAAAAAUAGGCCACGGGCACACCCGCGCCCAAAAAUCAGCCCCCGAAGGUCGGGGCGCCAAGACCCCCCUGCGGAAAAAUGGCCAAAAAACGGGAGGGCUAUAGCCUUGGUGGGGGGCGUGGGCGAAGUUCGUCCGCCGGACUCGGAAUGGCCCCAGACUUUGCGGGCGGCCUCCGUGUGCCAAAAAUAGGCCACGGGCACACCCGCGCCCAAAAUUCAGCCCCCGAAGGUCGGGGGCCAAGAGCCCCCAGCGGAAAAAUGGCCAAAAAACGGGUGGGCUAUAGCCUUGGUGGGGGACGUGGGCGAAGUUCGUCCGCCGGACUCGGAAUGGCCCCAGACUUUGCGGGCGGCCUCCGUGUGCCAAAAAUAGGCCACGGGCACAGCCGCGCCCAAAAAACAGCCCCCGAAGUCCGGGGUCCCAAGACCCCCCAGCGGAAAAAUGGCCAAAAAACGGGUGGGCUAUAGCCUUGGUGGGGGGCGUGGGCGAAGUUCGUCCGCGGGACUCGGAAUGGCACCAGACUUGGCGGGCGGCCUCCGUGUGCCAAAAAUAGGCCACGGGCACAGCCGCGCCCAAAAAACAGCCCCCGAAGGUCGGGGCGCCAAGACCCCCCAGCGGAAAAAUGGCCAAAAAACGGGUGGGCUAUAGCCUUGGUGGGGGGCGUCGGCGAAGUUCGUCCGCCGGACUCGGAAUGGCCCCAGACUUUGCGGGCGGCCUCCGUGUGCCAAAAAUAGGCCACGGGCACACCCGCGCCCAAAAAUCAGCCCCCGAAGGUCGGGGCGCCAAGACCCCCCAGCGGAAAAAUGGCCAAAAAACGGGAGGGCUAUAGCCUUGGUGGGGGGCGUGGGCGAAGUUCGUCCGCCGGACUCGGAAUGGCCCCAGACUUUGCGGGCGGCCUCCGUGUGCCAAAAAUAGGCCACGGGCACACCCGCGCCCAAAAUUCAGCCCCCGAAGGUCGGGGGCCAAGAGCCCCCAGCGGAAAAAUGGCCAAAAAACGGGUGGGCUAUAGCCUUGGUGGGGGACGUGGGCGAAGUUCGUCCGCCGGACUCGGAAUGGCCCCAGACUUUGCGGGCGGCCUCCGUGUGCCAAAAAUAGGCCACGGACACAGCCGCGUCCAAAAAUCAGCCCCCGAAGGUCGGGGUGCCAAGACCCCCCAGCGGAAAAAUGGCCAAAAAACGGGUGGGCUAUAGCCUUGGUGGGGGGCGUGGGCGAAGUUCGUCCGCCGGACUCGGAAUGGCCCGAGACUUUGCGGGCGGCCUCCAUGUGCCAAAAAUAGGCCACGGGCACAGCCGCGCCCAAAAAUCAGCCCCCGAAGGUCGGGGCGCCAAGACCCCCCAGCGGAAAAAUGGCCAAAAAACGGGUGGGCUAUAGCCUUGGUGGGGGGCGUGGGCGAAGUUCGUCCGCCGGACUCGGAAUGGCCCCAGACUUUGCGGGCGGCCUCCGUGUGCCAAAAAUAGGCCACGGGCACACCCGCGCCCAAAAAUCAGCCCCCAAAGGUCGGGGCGCCAAGACCCCCCAGCGGAAAAAUGGCCAAAAAACGGGUGGGCUAUAGCCUUGGUGGGGGGCGUGGGCGAAGUUCGUCCGCCGGACUCGGAAUGGCCCCAGACUUUGCGGGCGGCCUCCGUGUGCCAAAAAUAGGCCACGGACACACCCGCGCCCAAAAUUAAGCCCCCGAAGGUCGGGGCGCCAAGACCUCACAGCGGAAAAAUGGCCAAAAAACGGGUGGGCUAUAGCCUUGGUGGGGGGCGUGGGCGAAGUUCGUCCGCCGGACUCGGAAUGGCCCCAGACUUUGCGGGCGGCCUCCGUGUGCCAAAAAUAGGCCACGGGCACACCCGCGCCCAAAAAUCAGCCCCCGAAGGUCGGGGCGCCAAGACCCCCCAGCGGAAAAAUGGCCAAAAAACGGGUGGGCUAUAGCCUUGGUGGGGGGCGUGGGCGAAGUUCGUCCGCCGGACUCGGAAUGGCCCCAGACUUUGCGGGCUGCCUCCGUGUGUCAAAAAUAGGCCACGGGCACACCCGCGCCCAAAAUUCAGCCCCCGAAGGUCGGGGCGCCAAGACCCCCCAGCGGAAAAAUGGCCAAAAAACGGGUGGGCUAUAGCCUUGGUGGGGGGCGUGGGCGAAGUUCGUCCGCCGGACUCGGAAUGGCCCCAGACUUUGCGGGCUGCCUCCGUGUGCCAAAAAUAGGCCACGGGCACACCCGCGCCCAAAAUUCAGCCCCCGAAGGUCGGGGCGCCAAGACCCCCCAGCGGAAAAAUGGCCAAAAAUCGGGUGGGCUAUAGCCUUGGUGGGGGGCGUGGGCGAAGUUCGUCCGCCGGACUCGGAAUGGCCCCAGACUUUGCGGGCGGCCUCCGUGUGCCAAAAAUAGGCCACGGGCACACCCGCGCCCAAAAAUCAGCCCCCGAAGGUCGGGGCGCCAAGACCCCCCAGCGGAAAAAUGGCCAAAAAACGGGUGGGCUAUAGCCUUGGUGGGGGGCGUGGGCGAAGUUCGUCCGCCGGACUCGGAAUGGCCCCAGACUUUGCGGGCGGCCUCCGUGUGCCAAAAAUAGGCCACGGGCACACCCGCGCCCAAAAUUCAGCCCCCGAAGGUCGGGGCGCCAAGACCCCCCAGCGGAAAAAUGGCCAAAAAACGGGUGGGCUAUAGCCUUGGUGGGGGGCGUGGGCGAAGCUCGUCCGCCGGACUCGGAAUGGCCCCAGACUUUGCGGGCGGCCUCCGUGUGCCAAAAAUAGGCCACGGGCACACCCGCGCCCAAAAAUCAGCCCCCGAAGGUCGGGGCGCCAAGACCCCCCAGCGGAAAAAUGGCCAAAAAACGGGUGGGCUAUAGCCUUGGUGGGGGGCGUGGGCGAAGUUCGUCCGCCGGACUCGGAAUGGCCCCAGACUUUGCGGGCGGCCUCCGUGUGCCAAAAAUAGGUCACGGGCACACCCGCGCCCAAAAUUCAGCCCCCGAAGGUCGGGGCGCCAAGACCCCCCAGCGGAAAAAUGGCCAAAAAACGGGUGGGCUAUAGCCUUGGUGGGGGGCGUGGGCGAAGUUCGUCCGCCGGACUCGGAAUGGCCCCAGACUUUGCGGGCGGCCUCCGUGUGCCAAAAAUAGGCCACGGGCACACCCGCGCCCAAAAAUCAGCCCCCGAAGGUCGGGGCGCCAAGACCCCCCAGCGGAAAAAUGGCCAAAAAACGGGUGGGCUAUAGCCUUGGUGGGGGGCGUGGGCGAAGUUCGUCCGCCGGACUCGGAAUGGCCCCACACUUUGCCGGCGGCCUCCGUGUGCCAAAAAUAGGCCACGGGCACACCCGCGCCCAAAAAUCAGCCCCCGAAGGUCGGGGCGCCAAGACCCCCCAGCGGAAAAACGGCCAAAAAACGGGUGGGCUAUAGCCUUGGUGGGGGGCGUGGGCGAAGUUCGUCCGCCGGACUCGGAAUGGCCCCAGACUUUGCGAGCGGCCUCCGUGUGCCAAAAAUAGGCCACGGACACAGCCGCGUCCAAAAAUCAGCCCCCGAAGGUCGGGGUGCCAAGACCCCCCAGCGGAAAAAUGGCCAAAAAACGGGUGGGCUAUAGCCUUGGUGGGGGGGGUGGGCGAAGUUCGUCCGCCGGACUCGGAAUGGCCCCAGACUUUGCGGGCGGCCUCCAUGUGCCAAAAAUAGGCCACGGGCACAGCCGCGCCCAAAAAUCAGCCCCCGAAGGUCGGGGCGCCAAGACCCCCCAGCGGAAAAAUGGCCAAAAAACGGGUGGGCUAUAGCCUUGGUGGGGGGCGUGGGCGAAGUUCGUCCGCCGGACUCGGAAUGGCCCCAGACUUUGCGGGCGGCCUCCGUGUGCCAAAAAUAGGCCACGGGCACACCCGCGCCCAAAAAUCAGCCCCCAAAGGUCGGGGCGCCAAGACCCCCCAGCGGAAAAAUGGCCAAAAAACGGGUGGGCUAUUGCCUUGGUGGGGGGCGUGGGCGAAGUUCGUCCGCCGGACUCGGAAUGGCCCCAGACUUUGCGGGCGGCCUCCGUGUGCAAAAAAUAGGCCACGGGCACACCCGCGCCCAAAAUUAAGCCCCCGAAGGUCGGGGCGCCAAGACCCCACAGCGGAAAAAUGGCCAAAAAACGGGUGGGCUAUAGCCUUGGUGGGGGGCGUGGGCGAAGUUCGUCCGCCGGACUCGGAAUGGCCCCAGACUUUGCGGGCGGCCUCCGUGUGCCAAAAAUAGGCCACGGGCACACCCGCGCCCAAAAUUCAGCCCCCGAAGGUCGGGGCGCCAAGACCCCCCAGCGGAAAAAUGGCCAAAAAACGGGUGGGCUAUACCCUUGGUGGGGGGCGUGGGUGAAGUUCGUCCGCCGGACUCGGAAUGGCCCCAGACUUUGCGGGCGGCCUCCGUGUGCCAAAAAUAGGCCACAGGCACACCCGCGCCCAAAAAUCAGCCCCCGAAGGUCAGGGCGCCAAGACCACCCAGCGGAAAAAUGGCCAAAAAACGGGUGGGCUAUAGCCUUGGUGGGGGGCGUGGGCGAAGUUCGUCCGCCGGACUCGGAAUGGCCCCAGACUUUGCGGACGGCCUCCGUGUGCCAAAAAUAGGCCACGGGCACACCCGCGCCCAAAAUUCAGCCCCCGAAGGUCGGGGCGCCAAGACCCCCCAGCGGAAAAAUGCCAAAAAACGGGUGGGCUAUACCCUUGGUGGGGGGCGUGGGUGAAGUUCGUCAUAAGGACUCGGAAUGGCCCCAGACUUUGCGGGCGGCCUCCGUGUGCCAAAAAUAGGCCACGGGCACACCCGCGCCCAAAAUUCAGCCCCCGAAGGUCGGGGCGCCAAGACCCCCCAGCGGAAAAAUGGCCAAAAAACGGGUGGGCUAUACCCUUGGUGGGGGGCGUGGGUGAAGUUCGUCCGCCGGACUCGGAAUGGCCCCAGACUUUGCGGGCGGCCUCCGUGUGCCAAAAAUAGGCCACAGGCACACCCGCGCCCAAAAAUCAGCCCCCGAAGGUCAGGGCGCCAAGACCACCCAGCGGAAAAAUGGCCAAAAAACGGGUGGGCUAUAGCCUUGGUGGGGGGCGUGGGCGAAGUUCGUCCGCCGGACUCGGAAUGGCCCCAGACUUUGCGGACGGCCUCCGUGUGCCAAAAAUAGGCCACGGGCACACCCGCGCCCAAAAUUCAGCCCCCGAAGGUCGGGGCGCCAAGACCCCCCAGCGGAAAAAUGGCCAAAAAACGGGUGGGCUAUAGCGUUGGUGGGGGGCGUGGGCGAAGUUCGUCCGCCGGACUCGGAAUGGCCCCAGACUUUGCGGGCGGCCUCCGUGUGCCAAAAAUAGGCCCCGGGCACACCCGCACCCAAAAAUCAGCCCCCGAAGGUCGGGGCGCCAAGACCCCCCAGCGGAAAAAUGGCCAAAAAACGGGUGGGCUAUAGC
rnacentral:lncRNA from 1 species